rfam:Homo sapiens chromosome 7, GRCh38 reference primary assembly.
GCUGGGCAUGGUGGCGCAUGCCUGUAAUCCCAGCUACUUAGGAGGCUGAGGCAGGAGAAUUGCUUGAACCCAGGAGGUGGAGGUUGCAGUGAGCUGAGAUCACGUCACUGCACUCCAGCCUGGGUGACAGAGCAAGACUCAGUCUUAA